UACGUAGGGUGCGAGCGUUGUCCGGAAUUACUGGGCGUAAAGAGCUUGUAGGUGGUUUGUCGCGUUGUUCGUGAAAUCUCACGGCUCAACUGUGAGCGUGCGGGCGAUACGGGCAGACUAGAGUACUGCAGGGGAGACUGGAAUUCCUGGUGUAGCGAUGGAAUGCGCAGAUAUCAGGAGGAACACCGGUGGCGAAGGCGGGUCUCUGGGCAGUAACUGACGCUGAGAAGCGAAAGCGUGGGGAGCGAACAGG
rnacentral:rRNA from 1 species